GGUCCCGGUGUCGUCACACUGGUGUCACACUGUCACGCUAUGGGUCCCGGUGUCACACUGGGUGCUAUGGGUCCCGGUGUCACGCUGUGAUUCUAUGGGUCCCGGUGUCACACUGUCACGCUAUGGGUCUUGGUGCCACAUUGGGGCGCUGUGGGUCCCGGUGUCACACUGGUGUCACACUGUCACGCUAUGGGUCCCGGUGUCACACUGGGUGCUAUGGGUCCCAGUGUCAUCAUCAGUGUCACACUGGGGCACUAUGGGUCCCGGUGUCACGCUGUGAUUCUAUGGGUCCCAGUGUCACACUGUCACGCUAUGGGUCUUGGUGCCACAUUGGGGCGCUGUGGGUCCCAGUGUCACAUCGGUGUCACGCUGUGAUUCUAUGGGUCCCGGAGUCACACUGGGGCACUAUGGGUCUCAGUGUCACACCAAUGUCACAUUGGGGCGCUGUGGGUCCCGGUGUCACACUGUCACGCUAUGGGUCCUGGUGUCACAUUGGUGUCACACUGUGAUCCUAUGGGUCCUGGAGUCACACUUCAGUGCUGUGGGUCCUGGUGUCAUCACACUGGUGUCACACUGCGAUUCUAUGGGUCUCAGUGUCACGCUGUGAUUCUAUGGGUCCUGGUGUCACACUGGGCGCUGUGGGUCCCAGUGUCACACUGUGAUUCUAUGGGUCCCACUGUCUCCU
rnacentral:lncRNA from 1 species